rnacentral:lncRNA from 10 species
UUUAAAGAGAAGCAUCAGUGUAUCUGUCUUUUGGAUUUGAUUUUUAGAACUCACUUUGUCUAAACAUGUUGUCUCUCAGUCCCCCAGUUCUGCUGUGCAUUUAAGCAUCCAGACUGUGAGCUUCCUGGAGAUUGAAGUUCAGUCUUUACUCCUCCUGGACCAGGUCUGCCCUAGCACCAGGCUCACAGUGUUGUCUGCUAUUGCUGCUGCUACAGAGGAUGACAGACAGGGCCAGGCCUAGAGCAUGCAGUACCUUAGCAGUCUGGGCUAAGAAGGAGAUCAGCAGGUCAGACUCCACUCACCUGAGUGGCUGGCCUGAGGGGAGGUUGAUGAGCUGAUGUAGGAGAGUUCGGGGACUCAGACUGGAAAGGGGAAGGGCAGCACCCCCUACCCUGGUGGAAAGCAUUAGGCCUAUGUGGUUCAAGUGAGGCCAGGGGCCCGGGACAUUCUUGGAAACCAGCCACUGCAGGGGGCAUGGGUGGCUGCCAUCCCUUCCAUCACGUGUGUGCUGGAGAGCAAAGAGCUCACCCAGCCAGGGAGUGUGACAACAUAACAUCCGUGAGAAUCAUUGCAUCCUGUCUCCCACCCCCAAAACCCAUCCUAAGAUAGCCUCACAUGGCACAGCUAAGGCGAUUGCUUCUCAUGAAUGCCAAGAGAUGACUUGUCUUCAGCCUACCCACCCACCUGACUCAGCACCUCUACUGGCAAGCUCACUGCCCUGAACAGCGCAUCCACACACAGCCCUCCCUGCAACCAACCUGGAUUCCCAAGGCUGCUCCUCAUGCCUCUCAACCCUGGUCUUGAAAACCUCCCUUCUCCUCCACGAUUCCAGGAGCUCUGCCUGGACAGCCUUUUAAGGGUUGAAGGCUCCACAUGCACAACGCAAGCCUGGCCUCUUCCCCGGGGAAAGAGUUAAGCCUUGUCCUCCACACCCUCAGCAUUUGUCCCAUUCUGCAGCAGUGAGGACAGAGCUCUUCAGCCUCCAACAUGAGCUCAUGCCACUUCCACACUUCCACAGAGUCCUGACGGAGGGUCAACACAAUAUUUUAGACCAACGGCAACGAUGGAUCUCAUGCCAGAACCAGGAGCUUGGACCUUGGCCUCUCCACAAAGGCCCUUCAGCCAUUUCCUGCAGACCCGCUUGGCCCUUUGACCUCUUUAUAGGGGUUCAGGGAAGGAGUGGGUGAUGUGAGGGCCUGGAAGGGCUCAAGAGACUGAUGGAAGAGAGUCGCAAGUACACAGUGUUUCCCUGUUUCUGUUCGGGCUAGAUGAGGAGACAUCAAGGGGUGGGGAUGGAGAGGCUGUUCCAGUCAGUGAAGCCCAAGCCUCAUUCCCGCUCGGGUCUUUUAUCUCCCAACCCCAACAUUCCCUUCAUCGCCCCACCCAUUCCAGGGCCUGAAAUAGCCCGAAACUUCAUCCAAGCCUAGGCCCAGGUCCCAAUUUUAGUUCCACAAACAUUUGGCUGCUCCAUAGCUUGCAGGAUCCUGAGCUGGGUCCCGUGGCGGAUGCAGAGAUGAAUGAGGCCCAGCCCUUGCCUUCAGGGAGCUUGCAAAAUGUGUCCAGAUGACUGCAGUCAGAGGCGGAAGAUGCCCGUGGAAGAAGAAAGAAAGACGCUCCCCGUAGAGGGAAUGGGGCAGGCUUGUGAAGGAGAGUUGGUUUUGUUGAAUCUUAAAGGAUGACUAGGAUUUCAAGAGGCGGACAUGAGGAACACUGACUUUAGAUGGAGGGAACAGCAAGAGCAAGAAUAUGGAGGUGUGAAAUGUAGGGUAUGCUCUGGAACAUGGCCAGCAAUCUGGUUUGACUGGAGCACAUGGGAGAAUGUGGAGCUGCUUGCGGUUUCUGUGGAUGUGUGAGUCUGUCUAGAUUCCCUACAGGCUGAGGGCUCCCAAGUGCCAAUGACCCACAGAUUCCCAGAGCUUUACAGAGCAGCCUAUUUGUUAAUCCUCUAUUUAGGAACAGAAAGGUGAGAAACUUGCUCAGACUCUAAAGCACAUUCGUGACACAGCGAGGACUGGACCCAGGUUCUCCCACCCUUAUCUGUUUUGGCUCAGUUCAGGUCCCUUAAUCCAGGAGGCUUCGUCCGUGGAGUUGGCUGACUCAACAGACUCUGCCAUCCCUUAGGGGUCCAAGGAGAAGUAUGAAAUGAACAACCAGUGAUCAUGGAUGAACACAUGAAUGCUCCUCAUGGUGUUGCAUAUUUGCGUAUUAAUGAGGAAGGAAUAGCUUCACGACACUUGAUGGGAAAGACAUGCCAGUAUUUUUUAUUUUCCCACAUUUAUUUAAAUCUGGUCCCAAAUCCCAUCCACAGUGGGUGAAAAGUCUAAUAUCAUUUUUAGGGCUUCCUCUCUUGGCUCAUUGGAUUUUACAAAAAAUAAAACAAAACAAAAACCCCCAAAUAAACAAAGAGUUCGUUCUUGCAGGACUGGAGCAGCUGGUUGGGAUUCAGUGGAGCUCGCCACUGCUAAUGGCUGCCCCUCAGACUGUAGGCAGGUCCUCCCUGUCUGUGGGUACUGCUUCUCCAGGCAGGCUGGGGAGCUGCCCACUCACAGUGGUCUCUCCCAGCAGCAAGCUACUUAGUGGGCUUUCUUCAAGCCCCCUCACCCCCAGCUCUACCUCAGGUUGUGCCAUCCCCAGGGUGGAGGGAAGAGUUCCAGUUGGAUCUCAACUGCUGCCACUUGUGGACACUCGUGAUCUCCCACCCUCUUUCCUGGUGCUGGAAGUCACUGCCCACAGGUAAGGCUACUCUGCUUUUCAAUGGAAAAACCACCUUCCAACCUCUUUGACAUCCUGGACUUGAAGCCCUGGCUGCCCCCUUGGCAGGAUGUGGAGAAAAUGCUUCACAUUCUUUUCUGAAGAGUCCACAGCCAAGAAAACCAGAUAUGGCUGAUUUCUCAAUCAUGUUAUUAUGCCACACUAAAUGUUCAAUUAAUCGCUAUGUUACACUUACAACAGCAAAAGAAAAGUUCAGCA